CUUGACUCUAGUCUGGCACUGUAAGGAGACAUGAGAGGUGUAGCAUAAGUGGGAGACCGGCACCCGCCGGUCGCCGGUGAAAUACCACUACUUUCAUCGUUUCUUUACUUACUCGGUGAGGCGGAGGGCGCGCGUCGUUCCCCGUGUUCGGCGCGCGGUCUUCUGGAACCAAGGGCGGCCGGUCCAAAUCCCGGGCGCCCGAUCCGAUCCAAGGACACUGCCAGGCGGGGAGUUUGACUGGGGCGGUACAUCUGUCAAAGAAUAACGCAGGUGUCCUAAGGCCAGCUCAGCGAGGACGGAAACCUCGCGUGGAGCAAAAGGGCAAAAGCUGGCUUGAUCCCGAUGUCCAGUAAGCAUAGGGACUGCGAAAGCACGGCCCAUCGAUCCUUUUGGCUUGGAGAGUUUCCAGCAAGAGGUGUCAGAAAAGUUACCACAGGGA
rnacentral:rRNA from 1 species